rnacentral:rRNA from 1 species
CCUACGGGCGGCAGCAGUGGGGACUUUUGCGCAAUGCUCGUAAGAGUGACGCAGCGACGCCGCGUGAAUGACGAAGGCCUUCGGGUCGUAAAGUUCUUUCGACAGGGAAGAAAAUGCCUAUAAGUAACUGUGUAUGUAUUGACGGUACCUGUAUAAGCAGCCCCGGCUAACUCCGUGCCAGCAGCCGCGGUAAUCCGGAGGGGGCGAGCGUUGUUCGGAGUGACGUGGCGUAAAGAGCACGGAGGCGGUGUUGUAAGUCAUUAGUCAAAGACUAGAGCUCAACUUUAGUAAGGCUAGUGAUACUAUAAUACGAGAGUAUCAGAGAGGAUUGCAGAAUUCCUGGUGUAGCGGUGAAAUGCGUAGAUAUCAGGAGGAAUACCGUUAGCGAAGGCGGCAAUCUGGCUGGAAACUGACGCUGAGGUGCGAAAGCGUGGGUAGCAAACAGGAUUAGAUACCCUGGUAGUC